AGAAGGGAAAUGAGAGGGUACACUGGCUAUUCAUUUUUGACCCCGUAACGCGGUACACGCGGUACACGUCGCAGCAGUCUGGAUAAUUAAUUUUGGGGUUAUCAAUUAUUGUUCAGUGGAGAGGCGUUACGGUUUCGAUGACAUUUCAAGUUGUCAAAAUUUUUCCCUGUUUUGAAACUGAAUUGCCAAAAUGGAUAAGUUUGGCAAAACAAAAUGUUCUCGUUCCGGCAUCUUUUCUGGGCCGUUGAGUACCUCGUGACAUAGCGCACGGAGCACUUUGCAGCAGCAACGGGAUGACACCGGCCCGGGCAGAAGGACGCAACUUUUAACAAUUCUUUUGGAUUUUUCCGUCCCGGAGGAACCACCAAGUCAAACUAAACGAGUUGAAUUUGAUUAAUAGUCCUUCGAGCAGUGGAAGUCCAGCACUAGAUUAACGUGCACAACAGAAUUUCCCCUAUCGGCGUUGCAACACCCACGACCUGGGUCAUCCUCCAUGGACAAGGAUAAAAUCAUGUUUUCCCAGGCCGUUUAACAGGAUGGAAUCUUGGUCAGCAUAAUCCAGCUGCUGACUGACUAUCCUCGCCACCGCCGACGCGACGUACAACAGCGGUGCUUCUUCUUCAUAUAUUUAGGGAAACGGUUCACUUGCAAUGAUCCGGCCAAAGCAUAUUCAGCAGGUGACGGAAGCUCACCACUAACGGCAGCACCACGCCGGAGCUGGCCGGGCUGCUGGGCAGAACCGAGCUGAACAUCCUACCAGUGGGAUGAAACGUCGCCAACACAACGACGCCGCUGCAAUUGUUUUGCAACACUUUUUUCUUUCAUUUUAUUUUGGAAUACACU